UACGGAGGAUCCGAGCGUUAUCCGGAUUUAUUGGGUUUAAAGGGUGCGCAGGCGGAAGAUUAAGUCGGCGGUGAAAUUUUGCAGCUCAACUGUAAAAGUGCCUUCGAAACUGGUUUCCUUGAGUGUAGAUGAAGUAGGCGGAAUUUGUGGUGUAGCGGUGAAAUGCGUAGACAUAACGAAGAACACCAAUUGCGUAGGCAGCUUACCAUACUGCAACUGACGCUGAGGCACGAAAGUGUGGGUAUCAAACAGGAUUAGAUACCCUGGUAGU
rnacentral:rRNA from 1 species